rnacentral:rRNA from 1 species
CCUACGGGAGGCUGCAGUGAGGAAUAUUGGUCAAUGGCCGAGAGGCUGAACCAGCCAAGUCGCGUGUGGGAAGACGGCCCUACGGGUUGUAAACCUCUUUUGUCGGGGAGCAAAGCGAACCACGUGUGGUUAAUUGAGAGUACCCGAAGAAAAAGCAUCGGCUAACUCCGUGCCAGCAGCCGCGGUAAUACGGAGGAUGCGAGCGUUAUCCGGAUUUAGUGGGUUUAAAGGGUGCGCAGGCGGAGGUGGACGUCAGCGGUCAAAUUGCGGGGCUCAACCCCGUACUGCCGUUGAAACUGCAGCCCUUGAGUGGGCGAGAAGUAUGCGGAAUGCGUGGUGUAGCGGUGAAAUGCAUAGAUAUCACGCAGAACUCCGAUUGCGAAGGCAGCAUACCGGCGCGCAACUGACGCUCAUGCACGAAAGCGUGGGUAUCGAACAGGAUUAGAUACCCUUGUAGUC